UACGGGGGGGGCAAGCGUUGUUCGGAAUUACUGGGCGUAAAGGGCUCGUAGGCGGCCAACUAAGUCGGAUGUGAAAUCCCCAGGCUUAACCUGGGAACUGCAUCCGAUACUGGAUGGCUUGAAUUCGGGAGAGGGAUGCAGAAUUCCAGGUGUAGCGGUGAAAUGCGCAGAUAUCAGGAGGAACACCGGUGGCGAAGGCGGGUCUCUGGGCCGAAACUGACGCUGAGGAGCGAAAGCGUGGGGAGCAAACAGG
rnacentral:rRNA from 1 species